ensembl:lncRNA
GUUCCCAAGAGAGCAGUACUGAACGUCAGAAGAUCUGACAACAACUUCUGCACAUAUGACUGAAACAAUCUCAGACACUUCUGUGGGAGUUCUGAGAACAACUUCUGCACAAAUGAUUGAAACAAUCUCAGACACUUCUGUGGGAGCUCUAACAACAACUUUUCUACAGAAGACUGAAACAAUUCCAGAUGCUUUUGUUGGAGUUCUGAGAACAACUUCUGCACAAAUGAUUGAAACAAUCUCAGACACUUCUGUGGGAGUUCUGACAACAACUUCUGCACAUAUGACUGAAACAACCUCAGAUGCUUUUUUAGUGGGAGCCGCCAUCGUAAAAGGUGUAUCCUUUGAAGUCCUUUUCGUAGGAGUCAUUCUUGUGGUGGUACUGGUGGUGGUACUGGUACUGGUGCUGGUACUGUGUCACAACGGCAAGCAUAAGGGCACUUACCACACCAACGAGGCCGAGUGUGGUGAUUCUGAUUCUGUCGACACGUAUGGUGUUGCCUCUCAAAGCGAACUUGAGAUUUUGAAUGAGGAAGAAUAGAAAGAAGUACACUUCAUUUGAAACAGGACUUUUUCCGAUUCUAAACCGGGGCCAGUUGUCAACUCAAGAUGCCAAAUAUUUUCUACGGAAUUGGUAAUGCCUAUGAUGGUCAUCUAAUUUCAAGGCAACAUUUAUAUGGGGCAUACAACCAUCUCAGCUCUACAGAUUUUGCCACGAAGAGACAGAAUCGUUAGAUCACUUAUUUUUGUAUUGCCCAUAUAUAC